rnacentral:rRNA from 1 species
GAGCGGCGGACGGGUGAGUAAUGUCUGGGGGAGUCUGCCCGAUGGAGGGGGAGUAACUACUGGAAACGGUAGCUAAUACCGCAUAACGUCGCAAGACCAAAGUGGGGGACCUUCGGGCCUCACACCAUCGGAUGAACCCAGAUGGGAUUAGCUAGUAGGCGGGGGUAAUGGCUCACCUAGGCGACGAUCCCUAGCUGGUCUGAGAGGAUGACCAGCCACACUGGAACUGAGACACGGUCCAG